UCCGGUUGAUCCUGCCGGGACCCGACUGCUAUCGGAUUGAGAUUUAGCCAUGCGAGUCGAACGUCCCCCUGUUGCGGGGGGCGUGGCGUACGGCUCAGUAACACGUAGUCAACCUGCCCUGGAGACAAGGACAACCCCGGGAAACUGGGAUUAAUCCUUGAUAGGUCAUCUCAUCUGGAAGGAGAGAUGGCUUAAAGGGGUACGCGGGCUUCUUCCGCGAAUCCGCUCCAGGAUGGGACUGCGUCCGAUCAGGCUGUUGGCGGGGUAAUGGCCCACCAAACCUGUAACCGGUACGGGCCUUGAGAGAGGUGGCCCGGAGAUGGACACUGAGAGAAGGGUCCAGGUCCUACGGGGCGCAGCAGGCGCGAAACCUUCGCAAUGCGCGAAAGCGUGACGAGGUUAAUCCGAGUGGCCCCCGCUGAGGGGGUCUUUUGUCAGCUGUAAAUAGGCAGGCGAAUAAGGGGAGGGCAAGCCUGGUGUCAGCCGCCGCGGUAAUACCAGCACCUCGAGUGGUCAGGACGUUUAUUGGGCCUAAAGCAUCCGUAGCCGGCUUUGCAAGUCUUCGGUUAAAUCCACCUGCUCAACAGAUGGGCCGCUGGAGAUACUACAAAGCUAGGGAGUGGGAGAGGCAGACGGUAUUCAGUGGGUAGGGGUAAAAUCCUCUGAUCCAUUGAGGACCACCAGUGGCGAAGGCGGUCUGCCAGAACACGUUCGACGGUGAGGGAUGAAAGCUGGGGGAGCAAACCGGAUUAGAUACCCGGGUAGUCCCAGCUGUAAACGAUGCAAACUCGGUGAUGCAUUGGCUUAUGGCCAAUGCAGUGCCGCAGGGAAGCCGUUAAGUUUGCCGCCUGGGAAGUACGGACGCAAGUCUGAAACUUAAAGGAAUUGGCGGGGGAGCACCACAAGGGGUGAAGCCUGCGGUUCAAUUGGACUCAACGCCGGG
rnacentral:rRNA from 1 species